rnacentral:rRNA from 1 species
UACGUAGGUGGCAAGCGUUGUCCGGAAUUAUUGGGCGUAAAGCGCGCGCAGGCGGCUUCUUAAGUCUGAUGUGAAAGCCCACGGCUCAACCGUGGAGGGUCAUUGGAAACUGGGGAACUUGAGUGCAGAAGAGAAGAGCGGAAUUCCACGUGUAGCGGUGAAAUGCGUAGAGAUGUGGAGGAACACCAGUGGCGAAGGCGGCUCUUUGGUCUGUAACUGACGCUGAGGCGCGAAAGCGUGGGGAGCAAACAGG